rnacentral:rRNA from 1 species
GACAGAGGGGGCAAGCGUUGCUCGGAAUUACUGGGCGUAAAGGGCGCGUAGGCGGGAUGGCAAGUCGGUCGUGAAAUCCUUCGGCUCAACCGAAGAACGUCGAUCGAUACUGCUGUUCUUGAGGGUUGCAGAGGAGACUGGAAUUCCCGGUGUAGCGGUGAAAUGUGUAGAGAUCGGGAGGAACACCGGUGGCGAAGGCGGCAUCCUGGACCAACACUGACACUGAGGGGCGAAAGCCAGGGGAGCAAACGGG